rnacentral:rRNA from 1 species
GAUGAACGCUAGCUACAGGCUUAACACAUGCAAGUCGAGGGGCAGCACUAGGUAGCAAUACUGAGGUGGCGACCGGCGCACGGGUGCGUAACGCGUAUCCAACCUUCCCGUUACUCUUGGAUAGCCUUCCGAAAGGGGAGAUUAAUACCUGAUGGUGUUUGAAUUCCGCAUGUUAUUCAAACUAAAGAUUUAUCGGUAACGGAUGGGGAUGCGUGACAUUAGGUAGAUGGCGGGGUAACGGCCCACCAUGCCUACGAUGUCUAGGGGUUCUGAGAGGAAGGUCCCCCACACUGGAACUGAGACACGGUCCAGACUCCUACGGGAGGCAGCAGUGAGGAAUAUUGGUCAAUGGUCGGAAGACUGAACCAGCCAAGUAGCGUGAAGGAUGAAGGUUCUAUGGAUUGUAAACUUCUUUUAUACGGGAAUAAAACCACCUACGUGUAGGUGCUUGUAUGUACCGUAUGAAUAAGCAUCGGCUAACUCCGUG